UACGUAGGGGGCUAGCGUUGCUCGGAUUGACUGGGCGUAAAGGGCGCGUAGGCGGUUCGUACAGUCAGACGUGAAAUUCCUGGGCUCAACCUGGGGGCUGCGUUUGAUACGUGCGGACUUGAGUGCGGAAGAGGGUCGUGGAAUUCCCAGUGUAGAGGUGAAAUUCGUAGAUAUUCGGAAGAACACCAGUGGCGAAGGCGACUUACUGGACACAUAUUGACGCUGAGGUGCGAAAGCGUGGGGAGCAAACAGG
rnacentral:rRNA from 1 species